rnacentral:rRNA from 1 species
AGGGUUUGAUCAUGGCUCAGGACGAACGCUGGCGGUGCGCCUUAUGCAUGCAAGUUGAGCGAAGCUUUUUGGUAGUUUACUACUAGAAAUGACUGAGCGGCGAACGGGUGAGUAACGCGUGAGCAAUCUACCUUAGUUACUGGGAUAGCCCGAGGAAACUCGGAUUAAUACCGGAUAUUCUUAUUUUUUCACAUGAAGUUUUAAGGAAAGGUCAGCCGAACUAAGAUGAGCUCGCGUUCUAUCAGCUAGUUGGUGGGGUAAAAGCCUACCAAGGCUACGACGGAUAGCUGGUCUGAGAGGACGAUCAGCCACACUGGGACUGAGACACGGCCCAGACUCCUACGGGAGGCUGCAGCAGGGAAUAUUGUGCAAUGAGCGAAAGCUUGACACAGCGACACCGCGUGUGGGAUGACGGUUCUAGGAUUGUAAACCACUUUCAGGAGGGAAGAAAAUGACGGUACCUCCACAAGAAGACCCGGCCAACUAUGUGCCAGCC